rnacentral:rRNA from 3 species
AACCGAGUCUUAAUUGGGCGUUAAGUUGCAGGGUAUAGACCCGAAACCCGGUGAUCUAGCCAUGGGCAGGUUGAAGGUUGGGUAACACUAACUGGAGGACCGAACCGACUAAUGUUGAAAAAUUAGCGGAUGACCUGUGGCUGGGGGUGAAAGGCCAAUCAAACCGGGAGAUAGCUGGUUCUCCCCGAAAGCUAUUUAGGUAGCGCCUCGUGAAUUCAUCUCCGGGGGUAGAGCACUGUUUCGGCUAGGGGGCCAUCCCGGCUUACCAACCCGAUGCAAACUGCGAAUACCGGAGAAUGUUAUCACGGGAGACACACGGCGGGUGCUAACGUCCGUCGUGAAGAGGGAAACAACCCAGACCGCCAGCUAAGGUCCCAAAGUCAUGGUUAAGUGGGAAACGAUGUGGGAAGGCCCAGACAGCCAGGAUGUUGGCUUAGAAGCAGCCAUCAUUUAAAGAAAGCGUAAUAGCUCACUGGUCGAGUCGGCCUGCGCGGAAGAUGUAACGGGGCUAAACCAUGCACCGAAGCUGCGGCAGCGAACGUAUCACUUAAAGCGAUUCAGCGGGUUACGAUUGACGGAGCGAAGCGACGUCAAAGCGUAUACAAAGUCGAGUCGGUUUAAGGAUACGUU